rnacentral:tRNA from 1 species
UUGAUUGAAACCAAAGUAGAGGUGUAUCACUGUUAAUGAUAAAAUUGAAGGUUUCUUCCAAUCAAG